rnacentral:misc_RNA from 1 species
UCUCCGUUGGUGAACCAGCGGAGGGAUCAUUACCGAGUUUACAACUCCCAAACCCCUGUGAACAUACCUAUCGUUGCUUCGGCGGGACCGCCCCGUGGCCUUCGUGCCCGGAACCAGGCGCCCGCCGGGGACCCCAAACUCUUGUAUUUUUUGGAAUUAUCUGAGUGAAAAAACAAAUGAAUCAAAACUUUCAACAACGGAUCUCUUGGUUCUG